rnacentral:lncRNA from 1 species
CCUCAGACACAUGAUGCUCCAGAAGCACAAGACUCUGCAGAAAAGGUGGGGUGACCUGGGGCAGAGAGUGAUGCAGGAUGUAGAGUGUCUGCAGAGGACCUUCUCCCAGCUGAAUCCAGGGAAACCCAGCUUGAACGACAAGCUGCUGCUGAAGGUUGCUGAGAUCCUGCAGCUAAGUGAUGUGGACGCUUUAAAGAUAACGGGCUGUGAACUGCUGAAGGACGGGAGUCCGGAGCUGCUGCAUGCUCUCCUCCGCUGGAAGGGGGGGCUUUCGCGGAGACAGGUGACGGAGGUGCUGCGGGCCAGCCGGAGGGAGUCGGCCUCCCCAGAGCAGUCGGGAACCAAGGCUCGAUCGAGCCACCGUUGGAUUGUCUGUUGCUGUUGGUGAGAGAACACCCUCUGGACGCAGCCUCCCUCGGCAGUAAGAGGGACGUGACGACGUGAAGGGACUGAGCUUCGCUCAAAACUCAGAGACAGGUUUUGUCAUGGUCUGCUUGAUAAACAGUGCGUGGAAAUAUGGUGUGCAUUGCACAGGGA